rnacentral:lncRNA from 1 species
GUCUCAAUGUGGGUAUAAAUGUGUAUAUAUGCAUUUUUGAGAGAAUAUUGUAUAUAACUAAAAUGUAUAUAUUUGUUUUCAAAUACUUCCAUGCAUAUUUUCUCACUAGAUAAGAAACCUGUUAGGCCUGUGUUACAAGUUGCAAAGAACCCUCAGGUUGAAAGCACUAAGGACCCAUGGUCGGGCUCUUAGGUUGCAUGGCUUAUCCUGUUACUAACAGUACGCAGUGACCUGAUUUGUCAGCAGGUAUUGACACAAAAGCUCCAUCUCUCAGUCACUGGGGAGGCAGAGAAGAGGAAAAAGGUCACCUCAUUGCUACUGACAUAGUAUGGCACUGGCAACACCGUCAGUUGGUGAUGGAAGAUAGAUUUUUCCACCCUUACAUUCUCCUUGUCUUUUACAGUUCACUACCUAAGCCUGCUUGGACCUCUACAUGUGUUUAAUCCUUCCAGCAGAGGACAAUCACUCCAGAACCAUGGGAAAUGCAAUCAGACAAGGCACCCAAGAGGUGGAGAGCAGAAAAUCUUUAUCCCUGAUGGCUUCCUCUUUGAGAUCCUGUGACAUCCACAACUUACAGAAACUGUAUUCCAUGUCUUCCUUCCAGAUGCCAUCUUGGAGUGCCUGUGUCUCAGUCCAACUCUGCUCCUGCUAAUGAGCACCCUGGGAGGCAGCAAGUGAUGGAUCAAGUAGUUGUAUCCUUGCCACCCAUGUGAGAUCCCGGGACUGAAUUAUUGGCUUCUGGAUUCUGUCUGCCACAGCCCUGGCUGUUGCAGGUAUUUGGGGAGUAAAUGAGCAAAUGGGAGAUUUCUGACUUUCUGGCUCUCUGUCUUACAAAUCAAUAAAUUAAAUUUGAAAGUAAUUAAAAUAAACA